CUUGCAGUUAUAAAUUUUGAGCCAACAUAUUAUGAGAGAAGUUAUUGCUUUUGGGGGUACAAUAUUACUAAUGAAUGUUUUGCUUGGCAACACCACUGCUGGCAUAAAAUUCUAAGUCUAUCCAAAAGAAACUGGCUUUGAUUUCACUAUUUAGGAAUCAUAAGUCAACUUUUUAUGUACUGUAAGCUUCUUAGAAAUAAAAUUCAAACCCAUUGAUGACUGAGUAAAUUUCACAGCUUGUAGAAAAGACACAUACCAUUGUAAUGUGUGAAAUUUUAAUCAAAAAUGUUAUGAAGGAGAAAGGUAAACUGACUGCUAUAAUUAAUGUGUUCUGACAGAGAUGUAGCUGGCACAUUUGUGGACUCUGCUGUGCUAUGUUAACUGUUCCAUUGCUUGAGGACUGUCAGAGUUUGAGGAGUGCCUAUAUUAUGGUUUCCACGCUGGACACAUUUUCCUGAUGCGUCAGCUUUGUCGUGAUUUGAAAUGUGAAGUCAUUUCUUCCAUGGCUUUUCUAUUAAUAUUUAGUUAGGUGUCAUGGGUGCCUGGUGAUAGAUAUGUUAUCUUCUUUUUAAAAGCAGCUUCAUUUAAAAUUGAACUUUAUAAGCAUUGCUUUUAAAAUAAACCACCUUGAGGUUUAUUUUUCUGCUAUUUAAAUAUUAUCUAGUGUCUUAAAGGUGAGUAAAACUAAUGGAGGUAAUGAAAAAACUGGGAACUGGACCCUCAUACAGCACAUCAUAAUAAUAUAUUUUCAUAUAAUGCCACAUAUAUUUCAUAAUUAACUAAUACUUGCUUGGUUUCACAAAGUAAACCAAAUAUUUAUCCACAUAUGAAAUAAGCUCUGAUUUUAAAAAGGACAAUUGCUAUAUACUUAUUAUAUGACAGUAACAUCAAAUUCAUGGAUAUUUGUAAAAUGCUGUUAAAAUAUUCUCCAAAAGAGCUUUCAUGUCAGACACUGGCUUAGAUAGUAGCUCUCUAUUUCAAAGAGAUUCUUCUGAAAAUUAUAGUAGAUUUGGUUCUUGGCUCCGCUGUGUCAAUAUCCUUGCAGAGAUCCACUGCAGACUGUCUCAGAGCACUGCCAGUGUGGUUGUGCAGUAGAUAAAAGACAUACCUGAAAGGGGAAGACAGAUCUGCCACUUAAAUUAAAUAGGAAAUGAAUUGGCCAGCAAGUUGGCAUGUCUGCUGAGACAAAUCAUGGACAACAUGUCUCUCAGCAACAAAACUUAUUUGUUUUCUCUUGCCAACAGAUUCAUCACUGCCCAGGCAAAACAGGCAAAAUACAUUAGUGUCAUGGUAAACUGAUAAAGAGAAGUGCCUCAAUCUAGCAUCCUCAAUGGCGAAAGUCUUAGGGCAGUAUUGAUCUGUGUUAUAUAAAUCUUGUUUUCUGUCUGCAGAAGUGAAUCAGGAAUGACCUGCAAGGUUAACAAACAUUGUAAUGUCUUUCAGCUGGGGCAGAUGCCUGUGAGCUCCACACAUUGUGUUUGGUCAAGUUCCAUCUUGUCAUUUUACCGCCAAGAAGCUUAACUAAUUGCUGGCAAUCAUAAGAGUGUUUGACGGAAGGAGAGAAUUCCUACAAUUUUACCCCCUCUUUCCAUCCCCUCUUUUUUUUUUCUUAAGUCUUAACAAGCACUCAAACCCAAGUAGCGGAAAACAAUCAACACUGAAUUAGUCAGCAGGAGUCUUCACUUAGUUGAAAGUUUAUGUAAUUGGCAUGUCAUGUUCUUACAUUGCCAAGAACAGACCUGAUUAAGCUGAUGCACUUUGUUUCAGUAAAGUUUGACAAAGAAACUUUCUCAUCCUUUUGAGUUGCAUGUCAGGGUAUGUGCUUAACAUGAUUUUCUUCCCCUCACAAGGAACUAAUGGCUAAAUGUGUAUUCUAUGAACUGAUAAAAUCAAAAUUCUUAGCAAAUAGAGGCCUGAUAAAGUUCGUGUUCUGGAGAGAAGGGGAGAGAAUAUUGGUGGUAAAAGACAAUCAUCAAGGAAACAAAAAUUAGUAGAAAAAGUACAAUCAGCCAUAAAAUAUUCUUUAUUUUUAUAAACAGAACACUCAUAAAAGAAAGCCAAAGUCAGUGCUAUUUUAUAAGCAGUGGUUCAUUUGACCACGUGUUUUCACUACAUGCAGUGCCUUAAGUUAUUCCUUAUAAAAACAUUGUCCCUGGAGCCUUAAAAUUUUUUUUUUUUUACAAUGGAAGUGCUUUUUAGAGAUUAAUCAGCCAUUGAAUUUGGUCUGCUAACUUUUUAACAAUGCUUUAUUCGGUUGUGUAUGGAUGGAUUUUGCCCUUAUUUGGAAAUUCAGCCUUUAUGGUGAAAAAACAAAUGCCUAGCAUUGGAAGAGCUACCAUAAAGCUUAUGGGGUUUUAUUUCUAUUUGUUCACACUAGUGUUCGCUUGUCAUAAGCCUAAAUCAAAUGAUAGAUUUGAACUUGGGUUAGAUUAUUAAAGCUAAAAGAGAGCAGUUGCUGAGGGAAUAGUCCACGCAUCUAUUACGUCAUAGUUGACAGUAUAAAGGCAAGAUUCAGGAAACUAAUGGAAUUUCUUUUUCUUCUCCCUUUUUGUCAUAGAAAGGUCAAGCUAGUUUUCAACAUUUUUAUGUAUGUCAUUCUCAAUAUAGCAACAGAAUCUCUUAUGGAAAACAAUGUAAGUAAAUGUCUUCACGAUGCUACUAGUCACCUGAUCAAAAGCCAAUGUUGAAAAACACUUCUAAUGACUGUCUCUUAUGCAUCAGUGCACCUACUAAUGAGCUGCCAGAAAAGGCUUUGUAAAGCUUUGCUAAGAUAGAGCAGGAAUGUGAGAAGCCUGAGAUAUAACUUCCCUGCUGUGAUCCCUGCCUUUCUACUAACAGGGAGCCUAGACUGGGAGCUGCUAAUGAGCGUGCUGGAGAGAGUGUCCAAACCAAUGCAGGCUGGAGACAAUUCACCUGUCUGCUUUCAGAUCCAGGGUUGAAAACUGCAAUUUGUUAUAAUAUGUGGAAGAAAAACAACUGACAAAGACCAUCUCUGUCAAUCACAUUGUGGAACACUAUGCUUCCCUCAGGAUGGUCUCCUGCAUAUGCAGCAAAUGACCCUCUUCCACAUGGACAAGUUACAAUCUCUAUUAAAUAAUAAUUUCUGUCUGUUUAUUAAAUUAAAAUGAAUUUCACUAUAAGGUUUUAUAUUUUUCCAUGUCUUAGUAAAAUGACUUGUCUGGGAGGCCAGCAUUCCCAACAACAACAGGAUGGAGUGAGAAUACAUAGGAAAGCUAGCAAUCUAAAUAAAAUUUUAUUAUCAAACAUGAAAGUGAUAAUGGAGACAUUACAAGAAUUAGAAUUUAUUAAGGUAUUUGUUCCCUUAUGCCUUCUACUUGAAGGUAGUCAAAAAUCCAUUGAACAUUGUUGGAAACAUUAAGAGAAUUUGGUGUAUUGGCUGAUUAUAAAGUCAGUGUACAAAAGUCAAUAGAUUUUUUUAAUAUUGCAGAUAUAUUGGAUCAAAAAACAUAACGACUGAUUGUCAUUUUUAAUAUUAACAUAAAGAUAUAACAGCAAGAAGUAAGUCUAAAAAGAAGUGUGUAAGAUCUAUAUGAACAACACUAACAUGUUCUGAGAGACAUAAAAAUUAAACAAAGAGCUAUGCAAUUCUUGGAUAUGAAUACAGGUAUACAGAAAUAUGGAAAUAGUGGUUGCCUCUUGGAAGAGGAACUCAGUCAGAGAUGGGAAUUUUCAAUGUAUGCCUUAUUGACUCUCUAAACUUUUUAAGCCAUCUGCAAUUAUUAUUUUCAAACAAAUAUUAAAAUAGCUUAUACUUGUGCUGUACUCAUACUACGUGACAUGCAGUAUUGUAAGUACUUUACAUGUAUAAACUUAUUUAAACCUCAAUGCAACUCCCUGAGAUGAAUACCAUCAUUCUUAUUUUAUAGGUUAGGAAACUGAUGCACACAUAGCUUAUGUAAUUUGUCAAAGGUCACACAGUUAGUGGCUGGGACUUUUUACUCAAGCAGUCUGAUAAAAGGUCCAAGUUCUAAG
rnacentral:lncRNA from 1 species